rnacentral:rRNA from 1 species
AACGAACGCUGGCGGCAGGCUUAACACAUGCAAGUCGAGCGGGGACUUAGGUCCUAGCGGCGGACGGGUGAGUAACGCGUGGGAACGUGCCUUUUGCUUCGGGAUAGCCCUGGGAAACUGGGAGUAACACCGGAUGAGCCCUUUGGGGGAAAGAUUUAUCGGCAAGAGAUCGGCCCGCGUUGGAUUAGGUAGUUGGUGGGGUAAAGGCCUACCAAGCCGACGAUCCAUAGCUGGUUUGAGAGGAUGAUCAGCCGCACUGGGACUGAGACACGGCCCAGACUCCUACGGGAGGCAGCAGUGGGGAAUCUUAGACAAUGGGUGCAAGCCUGAUCUAGCCAUGCCGCGUGAGUGAUGAAGGCCUUAGGGUUGUAAAGCUCUUUCAGUGGGGAAGAUAAUGACGGUACCCACAGAAGAAGCCCCGGCUAACUCCGUGCCAGCCGCCGCGGUAA